GAGGAUGGUUACUAAAGUCUGCUUUGUUGGAGAUGGCUUUACAAGAAAACCACCUAAAUAUGAAAGAUUCAUUAGGCCAAUGGGCUUACGUUUCAAGAAGGCCCAUGUAACACAUCCUGAACUGAAAGCCACCUUUUGCCUACCAAUACUUG
rnacentral:lncRNA from 1 species